rnacentral:rRNA from 1 species
GACAGAGGUGCCAAGCGUUAGGCGGAAUCACUGGGCCUAAAGCGUGUGUAGGCGGAUUUGUAAGUACCUUGUGAAAUCCCACGGCUCAACCGUGGAACUGCUCGGUAUACUGCUUAUCUUGAGCCACUUAGGGGCUACCGGAACAAAUGGUGGAGCGGUGAAAUGCGUAGAUAUCAUUUGGAACGCCAAUGGUGAAAACAGGUAGCUGGGAGUGUGCUGACGCUGAGACACGAAAGCCAGGGGAGCGAACGGG